rnacentral:rRNA from 1 species
GACGAACGCUGGCGGCGUGCUUAACACAUGCAAGUCGAACGAUGAAGCUGGAGCUUGCUCUGGUGGAUUAGUGGCGAACGGGUGAGUAACACGUGAGUAACCUGCCCUGGACUCUGGGAUAAGCGUUGGAAACGACGUCUAAUACCGGAUAGGACCUCGGAUCGCAUGAUCUGGGGUGGAAAGUUUUUCGGUCUGGGAUGGACUCGCGGCCUAUCAGCUUGUUGGUGAGGUAAUGGCUCACCAAGGCGUCGACGGGUAGCCGGCCUGAGAGGGUGACCGGCCACACUGGGACUGAGACACGGCCCAGACUCCUACGGGAGGCAGCAGUGGGGAAUAUUGCACAAUGGGCGCAAGCCUGAUGCAGCAACGCCGCGUGCGGGAUGACGGCCUUCGGGUUGUAAACCGCUUUUAGUAGGGAAGAAGGGCUUCGGCUUGACGGUACCUGCAGAAAAAGGACCGGCUAACUACGUGCCAGCCGCCGCAGUAACAC